rnacentral:hammerhead_ribozyme from 1 species
CAUCAUCGGCGCACUGUGCUGAUGAGCCCCAUAAAGGGCGAAACAGCUGUCCACAGUUGCCGUUGUUUGAGCUU